rnacentral:misc_RNA from 1 species
UCCGGUUUGUCACCGGCGGUCCCCUUAGAGUUCCCAACUAAAUGCUGGCAACUAAGGGCAAGGGUUGCGCUCGUUGCGGGACUUAACCCAACAUCUCACGACACGAGCUGACGACAGCCAUGCAGCACCUGUGCGGACUCCGGCCGAACCGAAGGGAGCGUCUCUGCUCCCGGCGAGUCCCAUGUCAAGGGCCGGUAAGGCUCUGCGCGUUGCGUCGAAUUGAACCACAUGCUCCUCCGCUUGUGCGGGCCCCCGUCAAUUCCUUUGAGUUUCACCGUUGCCGGCGUACUCCCCAGGUGGAUUACUUAUCGCUUUCGCUUGGCCGCGUACUGUAUAUCGCACACAGCGAGUAAUCAACGUUUACAGUGUGGACUAC